GAGUCUGUAGCUCAGCUGGAUAGAGCAACGGCCUUCUAAGCCGUAGGUCGCGGGUUCAAAUCCCUCCAGGCUCGCCA
rnacentral:tRNA from 1 species